CUAUUUGAUACAUCCACAAUCAUAACAUACAUGUCCUUUUUUAUAGUGAAAUGAAAAGUAAUCGGUUCCAUGAUCAGUCUUGAGAGAAAUACUAACAACACAAGUCACUGCUAAACUGGUUUCCGGUACUUCAAACAUCAUUAGAAAAGAAGAGAAAAUGACAUAAAUAACCUGAUGCCCCAAGAUUAUUCUUUCUAUUGUGUGCUUACAGGCCAUACAUAUUUCAAAGUGCACUAAGAAGGGCUUCCCCGCUAAGUUAUUCAUAUAAUUCAAUCAAUGAACUAGACGGGAACACAAUAAAACCUAUGAAAAUAUCAAGUAAUUUUAAUGAAUACAGUGAAUUACAAAAGCACCUCAAAGCAAGAGUCAAUUCCCAUCAAAUAUGUAACUCUUUCCCUGCUAACUGCAUCCCGCGUCCUUGUUAUUACUUCGUUUCUCUUUUAUAGGAAAAAACCAUGAUUGAAACUCCAUAUAUGCAAAGUACUCUCAGAAAUAGCUUUGUCAAGAUUCAGGAAUUUCAGCGAACCCUAAACCGAAACUAUUGAGCCUAAAUCUCGAUUUAUUUCCGCCAAUCAAUUAGCCGCUAACAUUUCCCGUGAAAAUAAGUUCACUCAAAUUGAGAUAAACAAGAAUAGUAGAGCAUUACAACCCUGGAUGAUCGCAUAUAUAAAAAAACGUACAUGUACGACAAGAGACAGAGAACUUACGAUCUCGUCCACCGCGAACGCCACCUCUGGUAGGAUGAUACAUAAUUUCCUCGGAAGUCUUUCAAGGAUGUAGGACGAGGAAGGAAGGAUGUAGGACGAGGAAAACCGGAUUAUAGUCUCGAAUCUAGAGUAAAACUCAAAGAAAGAAGUUAGACCUUGGAAUUGACUUGGUAUUUAGGAGAAAAAACCUCCGAAACCUUUGCCAAAUUGCAAAAGUAGUCCUUAUUUUUUAUUAUUUACAAAUGUGUCUUUAAAUC
rnacentral:lncRNA from 1 species